UGGAUGCCUUGGCGAUUACAGGCGAUGAAGGACGUUGUAGACUGCGAAAAGCUUCGGGGAGCCGUCAAACAGGCUUUGAUCCGGAGAUGUCCGAAUGGGGAAACCCACCCGCAAGGGUAUCCCACGCUGAAUACAUAGGCGUGUGGAGGCGAACCUGGUGAACUGAAACAUCUAAGUAGCCAGAGGAAAAGAAAUCAACCGAGAUUCCGAAAGUAGUGGCGAGCGAAAUCGGACAAGCCGUCGAGUUUUAGCAGCUUUGUUAUCAGAACGGUCUGGAAAGGCCGGCCAUAGUGGGUGAUAGCCCCGUAUGAAAAAACAUCGUUGUGGAACUAGGCUCGACAUAAGUAGGGCGGGACACGUGUAAUCCUGUCUGAAGAUGGGGGGACCAUCCUCCAAGGCUAAAUACUCGUAAUCGACCGAUAGCGAACUAGUACCGUGAGGGAAAGGCGAAAAGAACCCCGGGAGGGGAGUGAAAUAGAUCCUGAAACGAUAUGCAUACAAACAGUCGGAGCCCGCAAGGGUGACGGCGUACCUUUUGUAUAAUGGGUCAGCGACUUACGUUCAGUAGCAAGGUUAACCAAUAGGGAAGCCGCAGGGAAACCGAGUCCGAAUAGGGCGACUAGUUGCUGGGCGUAGACCCGAAACCGGAUGAUCUAUCCAUGGCCAGGAUGAAGGUGCGGUAACACGCACUGGAGGUCCGAACCCACUAGUGUUGCAAAACUAGGGGAUGAGCUGUGGAUAGGGGUGAAAGGCUAAACAAAUCCGGAAAUAGCUGGUUCUCUCCGAAAACUAUUUAGGUAGUGCCUCGUGUAUUGCUCCGGGGGGUAGAGCACUGUUAUGGUUGUGGGGGUCAUUGCGACUUACUGCGCCAUUGCAAACUCCGAAUACCCGGAAGUAUGAGCACGGGAGACAGAGCACUGGGUGCUAACGUCCAGACUCAAGAGGGAAACAACCCAGACCGCCAGCUAAGGUCCCCAAUAUUGACUAAGUGGGAAACGAAGUGGGAAGGCAUAGACAGUCAGGAGGUUGGCUUAGAAGCAGCCACCCUUUAAAGAAAGCGUAAUAGCUCACUGAUCGAGUCGU
rnacentral:rRNA from 1 species